GAGUUUGAUCAUGGCUCAGGAUGAACGCUGGCGGCAUGCCUAAUACAUGCAAGUCGAACGAAGUCUUUAGGAAGCUUGCUUCCAAAGAGACUUAGUGGCGAACGGGUGAGUAACACGUAGGUAACCUGCCCAUGUGCCCGGGAUAACUGCUGGAAACGGUAGCUAAAACCGGAUAGGUAUGAGGGAGGCAUCUUCCUCAUAUUAAAGCACCUUCGGGUGUGAACAUGGAUGGACCUGCGGCGCAUUAGCUGGUUGGUGAGGUAACGGCCCACCAAGGCGAUGAUGCGUAGCCGACCUGAGAGGGUGAACGGCCACAUUGGGACUGAGACACGGCCCAAACUCCUACGGGAGGCAGCAGUAGGGAAUAUUGCACAAUGGGGGAAACCCUGAUGCAGCGACGCCGCGUGGAGGAAGAAGGUCUUCGGAUUGUAAACUCCUGUUGUUGAGGAAGAUAAUGACGGUACUCAACAAGGAAGUGACGGCUAACUACGUGCCAGCCG
rnacentral:rRNA from 1 species